UCAAGCUAUAAAGAGCGUAGGGAGAAUGACUUGGCAUCAGGAGCCGAAGAAGGACGUGACAAGCUGCGAAAAGCUGCGGUUAGGAGCAAAUAUCCAUAGACCCGCAGAUAUCCGAAUGGGGAAACCCGGUACGGCAAUACCGUAUCACUGCAUGGUAAAUACAUAGCCAUGUGGAGGAAACCCUCUGAACUGAAACAUCUAAGUAGGAGGAGGAAGAGAAAGAAACAUCGAUUUCCUAAGUAGCGGCGAGCGAAAGGGAAAGAGGCCAAACCAGAGAUAGCAAUAUCUUUGGGGUUGUGGACUGCAUAAUUGAUUCAAUAUUUUUAGCAGAAGUGUAUGGGAAGACACACCAUAGUAGGUAAUAGUCCUGUAAGCGAAAAGGAUAUUGACAAGGCAGGAUCCAGAGUACCACCGGACACGAGGAACCCGGUGGGAAGCCGGGGGGACCACCCCCCAAGCCUAAAUACUACCUGAUGACCGAUAGUGAAAAGUACAGUGAUGGAAAGUUGAAAAGAACCCCGGAAGGGGAGUGAAAAAGAAUCUGAAACCCUAUGUUUACAAGCUGCUAAAGCACCAUAUGAGUGCGAUAGCGUACUUUUUGUAGAACGGUCCGGCGAGUGUAUGUUGCAAGCGAGGUUAAGGUGUUAAGCACUGAAGCCGAAGGGAGACCGAGUGUGAAUAGCGCGUACAGUUUGCAGUAUACGACCCGAAACCGGGUGACCUAACCAUGGACAGGUUGAAGUGGAAGUAAAAUUCCAUGGAGGACCGAACCCACGUCUGUUGAAAAAGGCGGGGAUGAGCUGUGGUUAGCGGUGAAAUUCCAAUCGAACUCGGAUAUAGCUGGUUCUCAUCGAAAUAGCUUUAGGGCUAGCCUCAGGAUAGUUUAGCGGAGGUAAAGCACUGAAUGGGCUAGGGGGCUUCACGGCUUACCGAACCCUAUCAAACUCUGAAUGCCGCAUAAAUGUUUCCUGGGAGUCAGACUGCGUGAGAUAAGUUUCGUAGUCAAAAGGGAAAGAGCCCAGACCUACAGCUAAGGUCCCUAAAUGAAUUUAAGUGGAAAAGGAUGUGCAGUUGCGUAGACAACUAGGACGUUGGCUUAGAAGCAGCCACUCAUUUAAAGAGUGCGUAAUAGCUCACUAGUCGAGUGAUUGUGCGCCGAAAAUGUAACGGGGCUAAAAUUCAUACCGAAGCUUAGGCUUUGCACACUUUGUGUGCGAGGGGUAGAUGAGCGUUGUGUAAGUCUGCGAAGCUACACCGAAAGGAGUAGUGGAGAUAUCACAAGUGAGAAUGCCGGAAUGAGUAGCGAGAAUUAUGUGAGAAUCAUAAUGGUCGAAAAUCUAAGGUUUCUUGAGGAAGGUUCGUCCGCUCAAGGUAAGCCGGGAGCUAAGGCGAGGCCGAGAGGCGUAGUCGAUGCACAUACGGUAAAGAUUCCGUAGCCACCGAAGUCGUUAAAUACAGGGACACAGGAACAUAGCCUAACCCCACCGUUGGUUGAGUGGGGCGUAAGGGAGCGAAAAAUAGUAGCGAAGUAGGUGAUUGUACACUGGCGAGAAAAGCUGUAUGUAUUGAUAAGGUGCCCGUACCGCAAACCGACACAGGUAGAUGAGGAGAGAAUCCUAAGACCAGCGGGAGAAGUGUUGUUAAGGAACUCGGCAAAAUGACCCCGUAACUUCGGGAUAAGGGGAGCCUACGCGAGUAGGCCGCAGAGAAUAGUCUCAAGCGACUGUUUAGCAAAAACACAGGUCUAUGCUAAAUCGAAAGAUGAUGUAUAUGGGCUGACGCCUGCCCGGUGCUGGAAGGUUAAGGGGAAGUGUUAGAGCAAUCGAAGCACUGAACUUAAGCCCCAGUAAACGGCGGCCGUAACUAUAACGGUCCUAAGGUAGCGAAAUUCCUUGUCAGGUAAGUUCUGACCCGCACGAAUGGCGUAACGACUUGAGAGCUGUCUCAACAACAUACCCGGCGAAAUUGAAGUACUGGUAAAGAUGCCAGUUACCCGUGAUAAGACGGAAAGACCCCAUGGAGCUUUACUGUAACUUGAUAU
rnacentral:rRNA from 1 species